AGACAGUUAGUUUAAGUAAAACACUUGAUUUCGGCUCAAGUACUUGUGGUUAGAGUCCACAACUAUCUA
rnacentral:tRNA from 1 species